rnacentral:hammerhead_ribozyme from 1 species
ACUCAGCUGACGAGUCCCACGCAGGGACGAAACCCGCGUCCUAAGU